rnacentral:rRNA from 1 species
AGCGCACACGGUGGAUGCCUUGGCGGUCAGAGGCGAUGAAGGACGUGGCAGCCUGCGAAAAGUAUCGGGGAGCUGGCAACAAGCUUUGAUCCGGUAAUGUCCGAAUGGGGAAACCCACCCGCUUGCGGGUAUCCUGCAGUGAAUACAUAGCUGCUGGAAGCGAACCUGGUGAACUGAAAUAUCUAAGUAACCAGAGGAAAAGAAAUCAACCGAGAUUCCGUAAGUAGCGACGAGCGAACGCGGACUAGCCCUUAAGCUGAUUUGGUUCUAGGAAAACGCUCUGGAAAGAGCGGCCAUAGAAGGUGAUAGCCCUGUAUCUGAAAGGGCCAUUUCAGUGAAGACGAGUAGGGCGGGGCACGUGAAACCCUGUCUGAACAUGGGGGGACCAUCCUCCAAGGCUAAAUACUACUGACCGACCGAUAGUGAACCAGUACCGUGAGGGAAAGGCGAAAAGAACCCCGGAGAGGGGAGUGAAAUAGAACCUGAAACCGUGUGCGUACAAGCAGUAGGAGCCUCGCAAGGGGUGACUGCGUACCUUUUGUAUAAUGGGUCAGCGACUUACUGUUCGUGGCAAGCUUAACCGUAUAGGGGAGGCGAAGGGAAACCGAGUCUGAUAAGGGCGCAUAGUCGCGGGCAGUAGACCCGAAACCGGGUGAUCUAGUCAUGCCCAGGGUGAAGGUGCGGUAACACGCACUGGAGGCCCGAACCCACUCCCGUUGCAAAGGUAGGGGAUGAGGUGUGAUUAGGAGUGAAAAGCUAAUCGAACCCGGAGAUAGCUGGUUCUCCUCGAAAGCUAUUUAGGUAGCGCCUCAUAUGUAUCCUCUCGGGGGUAGAGCACUGUUAUGGCUAGGGGGUCAUCGCGACUUACCAAACCAUUGCAAACUCCGAAUACCGAGACGGACUGUAUGGGAGACACACGGCGGGUGCUAACGUCCGUCGUGAAAAGGGAAACAACCCAGACCCACAGCUAAGGUCCCAAAUUCACUGCUAAGUGGAAAACCAUGUGGAAAGGCACAGACAGCCAGGAGGUUGGCUUAGAAGCAGCCACCCUUUAAAGAAAGCGUAAUAGCUCACUGGUCGAGUCGGUCUGCGGGGAAGAUUUAACGGGGCUAAGCAGUGAACCGAAGCUUGGGGUGCAUAACUUUGUUAUGCGCGGUAGAGGAGCGUUCCGUAAGCCGUUGAAGGUGGAUUGAGAAGUCUGCUGGAGGUAUCGGAAGUGCGAAUGCUGACAUGAGUAACGAUAAUGCGGGUGAAAAACCCGCACGCCGAAAGCCCAAGGUUUCCUUGCGCAACGUUAAUCGGCGCAGGGUGAGUCGGCCCCUAAGGCGAGGACGAAAGUCGUAGUCGAUGGGAAGCAGGUUAAUAUUCCUGCACCUCGCGUAAGUGCGAUGGAGGGACGGAGAAGGUUAGGUGUACCAGGCGUUGGUUGUCCUGGGGAAAGGCGGUAGGUUUGGAUCUUUGGCAAAUCCGGGAUCCUUCAAGACCGAGCACCGAGACGAGCCUUUAUGGCAAAGUCACUGAUACCACGCUUCCAGGAAAAGCUCCUAAGCUUCAGCUUACGCAGACCGUACCGUAAACCGACACAGGUGGGUAGGAUGAGAAUUCUCAGGCGCUUGAGAGAACUCGGGUGAAGGAACUAGGCAACAUGGCACCGUAACUUCGGGAGAAGGUGCACCCUUUUUGGUGGCUCGUGCGAGCUAUAGCUGAAGAGGGUCGCAGUAACCAGGCCGCUGCGACUGUUUAUCAAAAACACAGCACUCUGCAAACACGAAAGUGGACGUAUAGGGUGUGACGCCUGCCCGGUGCUGGAAGGUUAAUUGAUGGGGUCAGCCGCAAGGCGAAGCUCUUGAUCGAAGCCCCAGUAAACGGCGGCCGUAACUAUAACGGUCCUAAGGUAGCGAAAUUCCUUGUCGGGUAAGUUCCGACCUGCACGAAUGGCGUAACGACAGCGGCGCUGUCUCCACCCGAGACUCAGUGAAAUUGAAAUCGCUGUGAAGAUGCAGCGUUCCCGUGGCAAGACGGAAAGACCCCGUGAACCUUUACUAUAGCUUUACACUGAACGUUGAGUUCGUCUGUGUAGGAUAGGUGGGAGGCUAUGAAACUGUGGCGCUAGCUGCAGUGGAGCCAUCCUUGAAAUACCACCCUGUCGUGCUUGACGUUCUAACCUGGGCCCAUUAUCUGGGUCGGGGACCGUGUAUGGUGGGUAGUUUGACUGGGGCGGUCUCCUCCUAAAGAGUAACGGAGGAGCUCGAAGGUACGCUCAGCGCGGUCGGACAUCGCGCACUGUGUGCAAAGGCAUAAGCGUGCUUGACUGCAAGAUCGACGGAUCAAGCAGGUAGGAAACUAGGACUUAGUGAUCCGGUGGUUCUGUAUGGAAGGGCCAUCGCUCAACGGAUAAAAGGUACUCCGGGGAUAACAGGCUGAUACCGCCCAAGAGUUCAUAUCGACGGCGGUGUUUGGCACCUCGAUGUCGGCUCAUCACAUCCUGGGGCUGUAGUCGGUCCCAAGGGUAUGGCUGUUCGCCAUUUAAAGUGGUACGCGAGCUGGGUUCAGAACGUCGUGAGACAGUUCGGUCCCUAUCUGCCAUGGGCGUUGGAGAUUUGAGAGGGGCUGCUCCUAGUACGAGAGGACCGGAGUGGACGAACCUCUGGUGUUCCGGUUGUCACGCCAGUGGCAUUGCCGGGUAGCUAUGUUCGGAAGCGAUAACCGCUGAAAGCAUCUAAGCGGGAAGCGCGCCUCAAGAUGAGAUCUCCCGGGGCACAAGCCCCCUGAAGGAACCAUGUAGACUACGUGGUUGAUAGGUCAGGUGUGUAAGUACAGCAAUGUAUUGAGCUAACUGAUACUAAUGAUCCGAGAGGCUUGACC